AAUCUGUAAACAUUGAUAUUGAACUUGAGAUUUUGGGCUUGAACAACCUUGAACUACGGUGCCUACGGUUUGACUUAAGUGUAGCACUCAAAAUUAUCUCUACAAUGUCCUACCAGUCAAUGACUACUUCAGCUUCAACCACAACACAAGAACACACAACAGAUACAAACUCAAUGUAAACCACUUCAAACUCAACUGCAGAAAGUGUGAU